CAACUCACUCAGCUGACAAGAAGCAAGAGGCUGUCUCUCUGCUGUUUUCACUGCUUUCAGGAGUGGUUUAGUGUCUUCAUAAAGACCGUUAGCAUCACAACCGUUAACUAUGGAGGCUAACAAUUAGAGGAGCGUCAGAAAAAAAUACCUAAAGCAGGGGAAGUUACAAGAAAAUUUGUAAUGAGAGCUGCUGACAGAGAUACAGGAAACACAGAGCUGGAGCGGAGCGGAUCUCCUGUGGAAGAACAUCUCCAAAGCGCCAUAAACCAUCUGACUAGGCAGUUCGUGAAGACGGAUAACCUGGACAGAAGUCGGUUCCAGAUCCAGGCUCCACACCAGACUUCUCACUCACAAGGAUUGCUGUCUACUAGAUAUGUGUACUCUUCAGACUUAGGUUCAUGCAGAUAUUAUUCAGGGACAUGAACACUUGAAUACUGCAAAAAUAGAGAAACUACUUUAUUUAAGAAUUUUGUGUUAAUUGCGUGAACAUUAAACAAAUAUAUAUUUAUUUUACUGUUUUUUUUGUUUUGUAUUCCAAAGCACCUAAAAGCCAAUUCACACUGCCAUACUCCAGCAGGGUGAACACACUGAC